CGUUAAUAGGAUGUGUGCACAUUACAAUAAUUAUUUAUUAACGCGCAUCGAUGGAUUUCCAUUACCGCAUAUUUUCAUCGUUUUGCAGUGCACUUUUUGAAAUUAAUUCGAGUACCUAAUCAUUCGAACGAAAAUGAAAUUUUAAACUCGAAUGACGACGAAACGAUCAAGAUGAAGACGGACGCGUAUACUUGUAUUUCUACGAGUUCUACACCAGGAUUAUUGAGGAGGUUUUUAUGUUUUCAGUAAGACAUAUAAUUAAAUCCAUUGAACACCACU